rnacentral:lncRNA from 1 species
AUUAAUAUACUAUUUUAUUUGAUAGAAACACAUGCAGUCACGUACCAAUUUAAUCCAUCCAAAUUUUUUUUAUUGCUCGUCAAUAAUCAAUCACUAUUAUUUACAAACACAUCACGUAAAAGAACUCAUGUCACAAAUUUAUUUACAACAUAUUUAUUUACUAUAUGCAGUAGAAUGAGUGGAUAGAAACAUAAAAUUUUAAAAAAUAAUAAGUGUAUAAACCCUAAACCCAAAAAUAAACACAAAACCCAAACAUAAAUUUCCAAAUACUAAACCCUAAACUCUAAUCACUAAACUCUAACUCAAAUAUAAACCCUAAACCCAAAUAUAAACACAAAACCCAAAUAAAAUGGAAACAAAAUAAAUAACAUAGUACAUAUUGGUGAAACUAUAAAAUGUCUAUGAUUGCAUGAAAGAAGUUAAUGCUGACCCCAACCAUACCCCCUCACCUUCUAAAUAUUAAACCCUAAAUUCUAUUCACUAAAUCCUAAUCCAAAUAUACCCUAAACCUAAAUAAAUAGAUUAAGCUAAACCCUAAUCAAGGAAGUAUAAACCCAAAUAGAAUGUAUAUAAUAUGGUUUACUAUACCCAAACCUUUACUUAGUAAAUCUAAACCCUGGCAGGAACCUAUAAACCCAAAUACAAUCUAUAAAUUGUUUUCCAAUAUUAAAC